rnacentral:lncRNA from 1 species
AGGUGUGUUUGAUCUCCCGUGAACCAUUUAAAGUUGUUUUUACUCCGAUUAAAGUAAUCUUUAAUGUAUUAUCUUUCAUUUGAACCAAUUAAAAUGAGUUUUCGUUGUGUUUUGGUGCAGUUUUUCUUGUGUCUUUGGGUAGCGUAGUGCACCUUCUCCCUUUGCAAGUUUCCUCAUUAGAAAAAUUUGCGUUUCUUGG